rnacentral:rRNA from 1 species
UACGUAGGGGGCAAGCGUUGUCCGGAUUUAUUGGGCGUAAAGCGCGUGUAGGCGGCCACACAGGUCCGCUGUGAAAACUCGAGGCUCAACCUCGAGCUGUCGGUGGAAACCGUGUGGCUAGAGUCCGGAAGAGGAGACUGGAAUUCCCGGUGUAGCGGUGGAAUGCGCAGAUAUCGGGAGGAACACCCGUGGCGAAGGCGGGUCUCUAGUACGGUACUGACGCUGAGACGCGAAAGCGUGGGGAGCGAACAGG